rnacentral:lncRNA from 1 species
CAGGUAGACCUCUGUAAAUACAUCCUUUUUCUGACCACUCCCCCUUUCCCACUCUGAGACAAAGAAGAAACUAUUAAAAAUGGAAAAAAAAAAAAAAAUCAAACUGCAUACGUUGAACUCACCGAUGAGUUAAUUGUCUUAUUUUGAAACUAGUUUUUGGGGUUCAGUCAAUGAUAGGUGACCCACAGGAGCCCUGCUAUAUAUAUAUAU